rnacentral:rRNA from 1 species
GAACGAGGAAGUGCCCCGUAAGGGGCGCAAGCCUAGUGGCGAAAGGGUGAGUAAUGCAUUGAUAACCUGCCUUUGAGAUGGGAAUAACUGCGUUUCGAGCAAUCGGAACUACCGAAAGGGCUGCUAAUACCCAAUAAUACUAUAGGUGCAAAAGCACUUGUGGUCAAAUGCUAGGAAUUCUGUUCCUUGUGCUUAAAGAGGGGUUAAUGUCCUAUCAGCUAGUUGGUGGGGUAAUGGCCUACCAAGGCAAAGACGGGUAGCCGGCUUGAGAGGGUGGUCGGCCACACUGGGACUGAGACACUGCCCAGACUCCUACGGGAGGCUGCAGUCGAGAAUCUUUCGCAAUGCCCGAAAGGGUGACGAAGCGACGCCGCGUGUGGGAAGAAGGCCUUCGGGUUGUAAACCACUGUCGGGAGUUAGGAAAUGCAGGUGCGUUAAUAGCGCACUUGCUUGACUAAGGCUCCAGAGGAAGCCACGGCUAACUCUGUG